CAGUCGCCGCGGUAAUACGUAGGGUGCGAGCGUUAAUCGGAAUUACUGGGCGUAAAGCGUGCGCAGGCGGUUCGUUAAGACAGAUGUGAAAUCCCCGGGCUUAACCUGGGAACUGCAUUUGUGACUGGCGAGCUAGAGUAUGGCAGAGGGGGGUAGAAUUCCACGUGUAGCAGUGAAAUGCGUAGAGAUGUGGAGGAAUACCGAUGGCGAAGGCAGCCACCUGGGCUAAUACUGACGCUCAUGCACGAAAGCGUGGGGAGCAAACAGGAUUAGAUACCCCAGUAGUCCCUGUCUCUUAUAA
rnacentral:rRNA from 1 species